rnacentral:rRNA from 1 species
UCUGACGGAGCAACGCCGCGUGAGUGAUGAAGGUUUUCGGAUCGUAAAGCUCUGUUGUUAGGGAAGAACAAGUACCGUUCGAAUAGGGCGGUACCUUGACGGUACCUAACCAGAAAGCCACGGCUAACUACGUGCCAGCAGCCGCGGUAAUACGUAGGUGGCAAGCGUUGUCCGGAAUUAUUGGGCGUAAAGGGCUCGCAGGCGGUUUCUUAAGUCUGAUGUGAAAGCCCCCGGCUCAACCGGGGAGGGUCAUUGGAAACUGGGGAACUUGAGUGCAGAAGAGGAGAGUGGAAUUCCCACGUGUAGCGGUGAAAUGCGUAGAGAUGUGGAGGAACACCAGUGGCGAAGGCGACUCUCUGGUCUGUAACUGACGCUGAGGAGCGAAAGCGUGGGGAGCGAACAGGAUUAGAUACCCUGGUAGUCCACGCCGUAAACGAUGAGUGCUAAGUGUUAGGGGGUUUCCGCCCCUUAGUGCUGCAGCUAACGCAUUAAGCACUCCGCCUGGGGAGUACGGUCGCAAGACU